rnacentral:rRNA from 1 species
AGGGCUUCGGCCCCGGUAAAGCGGCGCACGGGUGAGUAACACGUAGGUCAUCUCCCCUCGAGUGGUGGAUAACCCUCCGAAAGGAGGACUAAUACAGCAUAAGACCACGACCUCGCUGAGGUUGCGGUCAAAGCAGGCCACUACAUGUAAGCUUGCGCUUGAGGAUGAGUCUGCGGCCCAUCAGCUAGUUGGUAAGGUAAUGGCUUACCAAGGCUAAGACGGGUAGCUGGUCUGAGAGGAUGAGCAGCCACACUGGAACUGAAACACGGUCCAGACUCCUACGGGAGGCAGCAGUAGGGAAUCUUGCGCAAUGGACGAAAGUCUGACGCAGCGACGCCGCGUGAGCGAUGAAGGCCUUCGGG